CCUACGGGAGGCAGCAGUGGGGAAUAUUGGACAAUGGGCGCAAGCCUGAUCCAGCCAUGCCGCGUGUGUGAAGAAGGCCUUUUGGUUGUAAAGCACUUUAAGCGAGGAGGAGGCUACCGAGAUUAAUACUCUUGGAUAGUGGACGUUACUCGCAGAAUAAGCACCGGCUAACUCUGUGCCAGCAGCCGCGGUAAU
rnacentral:rRNA from 1 species